UACGAAGGGGGCUAGCGUUGCUCGGAAUCACUGGGCGUAAAGCGCACGUAGGCGGAUUGUUAAGUCAGGGGUGAAAUCCUGGAGCUCAACUCCAGAACUGCCUUUGAUACUGGCGAUCUUGAGUCCGGGAGAGGUGAGUGGAACUGCGAGUGUAGAGGUGAAAUUCGUAGAUAUUCGCAAGAACACCAGUGGCGAAGGCGGCUCACUGGCCCGGUACUGACGCUGAGGCGCGAAAGCGUGGGGAGCAAACAGG
rnacentral:rRNA from 1 species